GUGUCAGCCGCCGCGGUAAUACGUAGGGACCAAGCGUUGUCCGGAAUUAUUGGGCGUAAAGAGCUCGUAGGCGGCUGUCCACGUCGGAUGUGAAAGCUCGGGGCUCAACCCUGAGAGGCCAUUCGAUACGGGAUAGCUAGAGGUAGGUAGGGGAGAUUGGAAUUCCUGGUGUAGCGGUGAAAUGCGCAGAUAUCAGGAGGAACACCGGUGGCGAAGGCGGAUCUCUGGGCCUUACCUGACGCUGAGGAGCGAAAGCUGGGGGAGCAAACAGGAUUAGAAACCCGGGUAGUCC
rnacentral:rRNA from 1 species